UACGGGGGGGGCAAGCGUUGUUCGGAAUUACUGGGCGUAAAGGGCGCGUAGGCGGCCUGCUAAGUCGGAUGUGGAAUCCCUCGGCUCAACCGGGGAACUGCAUCCGAUACUGGCGGGCUUGAAUCCGGGAGAGGGAUGUGGAAUUCCAGGUGUAGCGGUGAAAUGCGUAGAUAUCUGGAGGAACACCGGUGGCGAAGGCGGCAUCCUGGACCGGUAUUGACGCUGAGGCGCGAAAGCCAGGGGAGCAAACGGG
rnacentral:rRNA from 1 species